CUGUAAUCCCAGCUACUCAGGCGGCUGAGGCAGGAGAAUCGCUUGAACCCGGGAGGCAGAGGUUGCAGUGAGCCAAGAUAACACCACUGCCCUCCAGCCUGCACAACAAGUGUGAAAACUCCUAAAAAAAAAAAAAAAAGAAAGAAAGAAAAGAACUUAUGGUUUAGGAGUCACACACCUGGAGGCAACAAGAUUCUGACCCUCCCUAAACUGCUCA
rnacentral:lncRNA from 10 species